rnacentral:lncRNA from 1 species
AAUAAAAUCUUACCCACAGUCCCAACCCAUCUUAUCCAUCUGUUCUCGGUCUGUUCUAACCACCAUUAUCUAAUCCCUCUGAGAACCACAGAGCUUCCUGUCUGUGACAUCCACUUGAAAUUACUGGGUGUUGUCACUUCCUCCGUGUGUGACCUUGGACAAGUUACUUCACUUCACUUAGCUUCCGUUUUUCUUCUGUUUUUCCACAAAACAGGACUAAAGGUGGUGUGGCUCUGGUGGGGCAGUUCUGAGGAUUCCAGUGGAGCAGCACAGAUAAGCCUCCACACCAGGGAAUCGACACUGAUGCAACGCUUCACACCGAUGCACACUGCCACCAGAGUCCCCACAACGUCCCGUCGCUCUUCCCGGGCUCAGGAUCCAGAAUCCGUCCCUGGAGCCAGUUGUCCUGUGGUUCAAUCUCCUUCGACCUCAAAGAGCGUUUUGUAUUUUUCCUGUUGUGACCUUGAUCAGUUUAAGGGGACCCUGGUCAGGGUCCAUCUGGAGUUUUUCCACGUCCGCUCGGGGUGCACGGGACAGUAGGGGCUGAACGCCCUUCCCAGCGAGCCACACAAAGAGGCACAGUCUGUCACCUCCUUCCGCAGUGGCCAUGUUAGCCUGGGUCACCUUCUCUACUACGCGUCUUAAGCAUAAAGUCACCACUUUCCCCUUUUGAAAUUAAUAUAUAUUUUCUGAGGAGACUUUUGAGCUAAUAUCCUGUUUCUUUUUAAAAAGAUUGUAUUUAUUUAUUAGAGAGAGCGAGAGUGAGAGAGAGAGCACAAACAUGGAGAACAGCAGGCAGAGGGAGAAGCAGACCCCCCGCUGAGCAGGGACCCGACACGGGGCUGGAUCCCAGGACCCUGGGAUCAAAACCUGAGCCGAAGGCAGACACUUAACCUGCUGAGCCACCCGGGGACCCCUAAUAUCCUGUUUCUAACAGACACUCCACUCCGUGGCUUUAGCGCCCAUUGUCAUCUCCUGCGGGCAUCAACGACCGGCUGCUGGUCGCCAAAUGGUCAUUUCCUAUUUCCAUCAUUCCUUCUGCAUUUAUUGGUUGGCAUUUUAACUAAAGGAAAAGCUUCCUUCCUCAUGUAUUAUUUAUUUACCUUAUGUAGUCAUUUGUUUGUUUACUCAUGUAUUUCUGUUUUAUUCAGCAAAUGGUAAUGCAUUAUCAUAUAUAAUUAUUUUCAUGCCUAAAUUGUCCUGAAUUUGACCAUGCUAAGCCCCUUCAAGUUGGCUCCUGUGUCCUUUCCAUCCUUUGAAGCCUUUCUUCCUGGCAUAUGUUAUCUUAUCUUGCACUUUCCCUCCCUCAGUCCUGGAAUUUGCCUCUUAUCCAAGGAGUCCUGGUUCCCCUGCUUGGAAGACAGCGAGGAGAAGCCAACCUCUAGAUAGCAGGUGUGCCUAUUGAUUAUGACAGCGGAGCUAGGGAAUAUGUAGCUGUGCAUGCACACAGAUAUGUACACACCAAUACAUCUGUAUCUGUGCUUUCUCUCUUUGUGUUAUGCAACUUUAAAAAAUGAAUUCAGGGGUGCCUGGGUGGCUGAGUCUGUUGAGCAUCGACUUUUGAUUUCAGCGUAGCACUCAGUGUGGAAUCUGAGACUCUCUUCUUCUCCCUUCUCUCUAUUCCCCCCCCCAAAAAAAAUAAAUAAAUAAAUCUUUUUAAAAUGAAUUCAAAUCUAUAUCUGCAAUUGCAGCCCAAUACUUCAGGACUUUUUUUAGCCUUUCCUCUUUUCCUGGUUGAAAUUCCCUCCUCUGACCUUGAGAAAAAUAAUACCUAUUAUCCUUAAUACAUUUCCUCAUUAGUUCAAUCUAUUUAUUAUUUGCUCAAUGUCCUACAUCCCACUUGCAUGAGUGACCUCUUUUUCCUUCAAUCUCUAUGACCCCCUUCCCCGGCCUCCAUACACCCCACUUCCUCAUUCCUGGCAUGCAAGCAAUACACAGGUACCUCUCUUUCCAACACCUUGGUGUUGCGACAGCCAAGGAAAGUGUGGGAGAAAGGGAUGAGGAGAGUGGAAGAGAAGUUUAUUUUUUGUAAUAUUGGGAAAAAUGGGACCCCCUCUCAAAAAAAUUAGUUCCCGUAUAGCAAAUGAUUCUGUUUCAGCUUACCAACAAGAAUUUUAUUAGGAAUAUAGGAAGUAAUGUACUGGACUAGGAACAGCAGAUAUACAAUAUUCAGUGAUAUUUAGAUUCCUCAUGGUUUACUGUGGGAGCACAGUAUGUAACUUAUAGUAAGAGUCUGGAGCUGUCAGCAGAGUUUGAUUUAUAAAAUGGCUUUAAGAUCAUUAAAUUUAAUAGUGUAAAAUACCUGCAUAUUUUAUUUCCAUUUUGUGUGGAGAGAUGUCUGGCCUUGCACAGAAUUCUGACUUGGGUAUGAUGUGAUUGCAACCAAAGAACAUCUGGACCCUGAGCGCUAAUGGGAAGACCCAGGUCUUCAUUCCAGUAGUUCAAAGUCUGCCAUGUGAUUAGUUUCCUUCCAUAACGAAGUAUCACAGACAGGGUGGCCUAAGGCAACAGGAAAGUGUUCUCUCUCAGUUCUGGAGGCUAGAAAUCUGAGCUCAAGGUAUCAUUGGCAGGGCUGGUUCCUUGUAAAGGCUCUGAGAGGGGAACCAUCCCAGGCCCUUCUCCUGUAACCAGUGGUACCAUUAGAACCCUUGCCAUCUCUCCAUUUGAAGCCACAUUACUACAGUAUCUGUUUCUCUUGUCACCUGGUCUGCCUCUGCCUGUGCCAGCCUCCAAAGCCCACCUUUAUUUACCAGUUAUAUUAGAUUAGGACCCACCUUAUACCAGUACAACCUUGUGUUCACUUGGUUACAUCUACGAAGACCACAUUUCCAAACAAGGCCACAUUCCCAGCUGCUGUGGGUCAGGACUUGAGCACCUCUUUUGGAGGAAGACUUUUCAGUGCACUUUGAUGGUGAGGUAACAAUUACCAUGGAUCUAUUCGGAGCUACAUGCUUAUAUUAAUAUCAUCUCUUAAAGGCAUGAGUUAUUCAAUAUUGCUUUCUCCACAGUUUCCCUAAGUCAGUGUUUGUUUCUUGUGAAGUAUUGAUGGCAAAAUCAGUGUGUCCCAAGGAUCUAUUUUGUUUUCUUCUGGAACACAACACUUCAAGCUAAACAUGGAUACCCUACAGCCUGACCUCUUUCUCCCUGAGCCCUCUCAAUCCAGAGGUGCUAAGACGGUGAUAGUCUCCACUUAAGGCUUGUACAGUGGGUCUUAUCAAAUCCAAUGUUUUUAUUUUCCAUAUUCCUCCACCUUACUCUAAUUACCUGUUACUUGGAAGGCAACAAUGCACAAAAAGUUAGCAAUGGUCAAAAUAAUUUUAAAACAUGCUACUUACAAAGUGCUGCUGUCUAAAAUACUUUCCUCCUUACUCAGCUUCAAUGACUGAUACUAGGCUGUGUGCAGAAUGCAAUUGCUAAAUUGAAUGUGACGCCCACCAGAUUUUAUCAUCCUUUUUUCAGAGAAUGGGCUGCGAUGCAGUCGGUCAC